CCAACAUGGAUACCUGGGAGGUCACUCUCCCUGGGCUCUGUCCAGGUGGUGCAGAGGAGCAUAGGGCUCAGCCCAGUGAUGUACAGCCCUACUCCACAACGUUGGAGAUGAAGCCGGGCUCUCGAGCCCGCACCUGCAUAUUCCUACAGCUUCUCAGAGUCCUAUGGACAAUGACUGAGGAGACAAACCAUGCAGGAAACAGUU
rnacentral:snoRNA from 1 species